UACGGGGGGGGCUAGCGUUGUUCGGAAUUACUGGGCGUAAAGCGCGCGUAGGCGGCUUUGUAAGUUAGAGGUGAAAGCCCGGAGCUCAACUCCGGAAUUGCCUUUAAGACUGCAUCGCUAGAAUCAUGGAGAGGUGAGUGGAAUUCCGAGUGUAGAGGUGAAAUUCGUAGAUAUUCGGAAGAACACCAGUGGCGAAGGCGACUCACUGGACAUGUAUUGACGCUGAGGUGCGAAAGCGUGGGGAGCGAACAGG
rnacentral:rRNA from 1 species